GGAUGAAUGGUUGAGUGGUUGAAAACGUCAAUUUUGAAAAUUGAAAUAAAGUAAUUUAUCGUAGGUUCGAAUCCUACUUCAUCCG
rnacentral:tRNA from 1 species